AUCAAUCUUCGGGGCAGGGUGAAAUUCCCUACCGGCGGUGAUGAGCAUCAUGCUCUAAGCCCGCGAGCUGCUUCGGCGGCAGGAUCCGGUGAGAUUCCGGAGCCGACAGUAUAGUCUGGAUGGGAGAAGAUGGAG
rfam:Bacillus amyloliquefaciens FZB42, complete genome.